rnacentral:rRNA from 1 species
UACGAAGGGGCUAGCGUUGCUCGGAAUCACUGGGCGUAAAGGGUGCGUAGGCGGGUCUUUAAGUCAGGGGUGAAAUCCUGGAGCUCAACUCCAGAACUGCCUUUGAUACUGAGGAUCUUGAGUUCGGGAGAGGUGAGUGGAACUGCGAGUGUAGAGGUGAAAUUCGUAGAUAUUCGCAAGAACACCAGUGGCGAAGGCGGCUCACUGGCCCGAUACUGACGCUGAGGCACGAA